rnacentral:lncRNA from 1 species
UUUUUUGUUUCCGAUAAUCCAUUUAUAUUCUAAUUUAUCAUACUCUCUUUGAUUCAUUAUGGCGACAUUUCAACUCACUAAUACACGAACAACUUGAAAACCAUGUGAGUUCCGAUGAAGCGACCCUCCUCGUCGGCCACUCUCUUCCGUUUGAUGGUCGCCCUCUAGUGGCCGACCCUGCCGACGACCGGGCGGCUCAGCAUAGACGUCUGCUCCGGGGAUGAGGUCAAGAGAGACGGGAUCGUCGUUGGCCUUCUUGUGAAGGUACUUCACCGUCACUAAACCCUAAUCUACACAAGGCUGUUC